rnacentral:rRNA from 1 species
UACGAAGGGGGCUAGCGUUGCUCGGAAUCACUGGGCGUAAAGCGCACGUAGGCGGAUUUUUAAGUCAGGGGUGAAAUCCUGGAGCUCAACUCCAGAACUGCCUUUGAUACUGGGAAUCUCGAGUCCGGAAGAGGUGAGUGGAACUGCGAGUGUAGAGGUGAAAUUCGUAGAUAUUCGCAAGAACACCAGUGGCGAAGGCGGCUCACUGGUCCGGUACUGGACGCUGAGGUGCGAAAGCGUGGGGAGCAA